rnacentral:hammerhead_ribozyme from 1 species
ACACUGAUAAUGAGUCCCAAACAGGACGAAACAGCUGUCCAGUGC